GAUGAACGCUAGCGGCAGGCCUAAUACAUGCCAGUCGGACGGGAUCCAUUGAUAGCUUGCUAUCAAUGGUGAGAGUGGCGCACGGGUGCGUAACGCGUGAGCAACCUGCCUCCAUCAGGGGGAUAGCCUCUCGAAAGAGAGAUUAACACCGCAUAAUAUCAACAGUUCGCAUGUUCAGUUGAUUAAAUAUUUAUAGGAUGGAGAUGGGCUCGCGUGACAUUAGCUAGUUGGUAGGGUAACGGCUUACCAAGGCGACGAUGUCUAGGGGCCCUGAGAGGAGAAUCCCCCACACUGGUACUGAGACACGGACCAGACUCCUACGGGAGGCAGCAGUAAGGAAUAUUGGUCAAUGGGCGGAAGCCUGAACCAGCCAUGCCGCGUGCAGGAUGACUGCCCUAUGGGUUGUAAACUGCUUUUGUCCAGGAAUAAACCUAAAUACGAGUAUUUAGCUGAAUGUACUGGAAGAAUAAGGAUCGGCUAACUCCGUG
rnacentral:rRNA from 1 species